rnacentral:rRNA from 1 species
CAAGAGCGUAUAUUAAAGUUGCUGCGGUUAAAAAGCUCGUAGUUGGAUUUCAGUCUAGGAAGGUUAACUCGCCGAAAGGUUGUACGUUGAUUUUCCUCAGACUUCGUCAGAAGCACGUGCUGCACUUAACUGUGUGGUACGAUGUUCUGACCUUUUACCUUGAGGAAAGUAGAGUGUUUCAGGCAGGCUACCCAGCUUGAAUACAUUAGCAUGGAAUAAUGAAAUGGAUCUCGGUUCGAUUUCGUUGGUUCUAGAGCUGAGGUGAUGAUCAAUAGGAACAGGCGAAGGUAUUCGUACUUGAGAGUGAGGAGUGAAAUCCGAUGAUCUCUUAAAGACGAUCCGAGGCGAAAGCAUUUGUCAAGGAUGUUUUCAUUGA